UACGUAGGGUGCGAGCGUUACUCGGAAUUACUGGGCGUAAAGUGUGCGCAGGCGGCCGCGCAAGUCGAGUGUGAAAGCCCCGAGCUUAACUUGGGAAUUGCGCUCGAAACUACGUGGCUGGAGUGUGGCAGAGGAAGGUGGAAUUCCAGGUGUAGCGGUGGAAUGCGCAGAUAUCAGGAGGAACACCAAUAGCGAAGGCAGCUCGCUGGGACGUUACUGACACUGAGGCGCGAAAGCGUGGGGAGCGAACAGG
rnacentral:rRNA from 1 species